GGGCCCUACGGGAGGCAGCAGUGAGGAAUAUUGGUCAAUGGGCGAGAGCCUGAACCAGCCAAGUCGCGUGAGGGAAGACGGUCCUAUGGAUUGUAAACCUCUUUUGCCGGGGAGCAAAGAGCGGUACGUGUACCGCAUCGAGAGUACCCGGAGAAAAAGCAUCGGCUAACUCCGUGCCAGCAGCCGCGGUAAUACGGAGGAUGCGAGCGUUAUCCGGAUUUAUUGGGUUUAAAGGGUGCGUAGGCGGAUUUUUAAGUCAGCGGUAAAAUGUCCGGGCUCAACCCGGGCCGGCCGUUGUAACUGGG
rnacentral:rRNA from 1 species